rnacentral:rRNA from 1 species
UACGGAGGGGGCGAGCGUUAUUCGGAAUUAUUGGGCGUAAAGGGCGCGUAGGCGGCUGUACAAGUCAAAGGUGAAAUCCCUCGGCUCAACUGAGGAACUGCCUUUGAAACUGUACGGCUUGAGGCCGGGAGGGGGUAGCGGAAUUCCCAGUGUAGCGGUGAAAUGCGUAGAUACUGGGAGGAACACCAGUGGCGAAGGCGGCUACCUGGACCGGUUCUGACGCUGAGGCGCGAAAGCGUGGGGAGCAAACGGG